GAUGAACGCUAGCGGGAGGCCUAACACAUGCAAGCCGAGCGGUAGAGUCUCUUCGGAGACCUGAGAGCGGCGCACGGGUGCGGAACACGUGUGCAACCUGCCUUUAUCUGGGGGAUAGCCUUUCGAAAGGAAGAUUAAUACUCCAUAAUAUACUGGUUGGCAUCAUCUGGUAUUGAAAAUUCCGGUGGAUAGUGAUGGGCAUGCGCAAGAUUAGAUAGUUGGUUAGGUAACUGCUCACCAAGUCAGCGAUCCUUAGGGGGCCUGAGAGGGUGAUCCACCACACUGGUACUGAGACACGGACCAGAGUCCUACGGAAGGCAGCAGAGAGGAACGUGAGGCAAUAGGUGAGAACCUGAUACAGCCGGCCCGCGUGAAAGACGACGGCGCUGUGGGAGGUAAACUGCUUUUGGAGAGGGAUAAACCUAGUAACGUGGAUCUAGCUGAAGGUACUAGACGAAUAAGCCCCGGCUAACUCCGUG
rnacentral:rRNA from 1 species